rnacentral:rRNA from 1 species
CUUGCUUUCUUUUGCUGGCGACCGGCGCACGGGUGAGUAACACGUAUCCAACCUGCCCUUUACUCGGGGAUAGCCUUUCGAAAGAAAGAUUAAUACCCGAUAGCAUAAUGAUUCCGCAUGGUUUCAUUAUUAAAGGAUUCCGUAAAGGAUGGGGAUGCGUUCCAUUAGGUUGUUGGUGGGGUAACGGCCCACCAAGCCUUCGAUGGAUAGGGGUUCUGAGAGGAAGGUCCCCCACAUUGGAACUGAGACACGGUCCAA